ACUCAUUCACACAAUGUGCAGUUGAAAGAAAGGAUGAAUAAGGAAAAGCCCAUGCCUUUGAUGGUCUCCGAGACUUUCUGAAAUGGUCUUACUUUGAAUUGGGCUUGGGCUUCUGGAAAUGAACAGACUUUCCAAAAUGGUUGUCAAAAAGUUUGGUCUUGAAAGUCACAUCUGUAGCCUGAUGAAACAUACAUUCUUCUUCGAGGAUGGAAAAGAUGCCCAUUGGCUGCUUGGAGAUACAGAUGAACAGUAGAUGAAAAAACAAACCAAAAAAAGAUACUAAUAAACAGUAUUUUCACUAGGG